UAGCCGCGGUAAUUCCAGCUCCAAUAGCGUAUAUUAA
rnacentral:rRNA from 13 species